rnacentral:antisense_RNA from 1 species
AGAUUUCUGUCUGCCUCUCAUUGGCAAACAUGACAUUUCAGCAAUUUCUCUAAAGAGGAAUGAUUGGGGGGAUUUUUUGUUCAUUCUGAAAAUCACAUCGCCAGAUCCAACACCUUGUUAUCCCAAUCACCAGUACAAGCCACCUGUAUCAGUGUACACUGUGGCUGACUGAUCCAUAGUGAUGCUUUGAGCACAAGGAAGGACUUUCUGGAAUCUACUUAUCUGACCAAGAAAGCUUCUUUCCAAAAGAAAUGCAAUUGUCUUGAGACUUCUUCCCUAGGGAUCUGAUCAACUAACUGGAAAAAAGCAACCACCGGAGAAGAGACUGUGGGUGUCAUUGUGACUGGCUGCUACCUCCCCAUGAGUCUUCUAAAAUAAAACCUGCAAAUUCACAUCUUCCCCAUGCUUCCAGAGAAUGCAUAUUCUUCCUUUGAAAAAAGAAAACCAGAUUGAAGCCACAAAAUCCACAGCACACAAAGACCCUGCUACCAUGUAUUCACUUCAGUGAAAGGGAAGCACCGAAAUGCUGAGUGGGGGCAGGUACAGAUACUUCAAUCAUUGCUGAUGG